GUAACAACUCUAAGUACAACUUACUGAGUGAAAUAUGUAACCUGUGAAGAAAUAUUAGUGAUAUUCAAGAUAGUUUAUCAGUUAUUGAAUGGCAUGGAAAUAACCAGCAUACACUGCAGCUGGCCCAGGAAGGUGAAAAUAUCCAGAUACGGAAGGGUGCCAAACUGGAACCACAUGAAGCCAUACCUGAAAGUGCCCUUGAGAUGAGUGAAGAACUACCCAAAACCACUCUUUAGUGUUAAAUUGUGAUAAGACUCUUGACAGCUGAGGAAGCAGACUUCAUGAAUGAAAAGAUCAUGGAAGAAAGCUGUCAUAGCAGCAGACCAGUGAGGUGUCACACCAUCAACAGAAGGAAGACCACCACAAUAAGAGAUGAAUGAAUGAAUGAAUAAGACAAAACUCUGCAUUUUUGUCAAUUUAAAACAUUAAAUGAGAGAAUGAAGAACCAGUAGACAUACUAAAAGAAAGAGUUACACAAAAUCCUGAUUAAUAUGUGUAUUCCUGUCUCUUCCCUGUCAGUGGAAUGUAAUCUACACUGUCUCUAUAAAUCCAUAGGCUACCUUCAUCUUGAAUACUGCGUACAGUUCUGCAGUUUCCCCCCAUGUCAGAAAAAAUAUAAUAGAACUGGAAAAAGAUUAAGAUAAGAGCAACAUGGACAAAGACUUCUCAGUCUGGAGGAGGUAUGACUGAAGGAGGACAUAAGAGAGGUCUAUAAAAUCAUGAUCAGCAUGAAGACAGUGAAUAGGGACUGAAUUGUCUUUUUUUUAUGUAGAACAACUAGAGACAUCAAAUGAAGCUAGCAGGCAUGAGGUUCAAGACAAACAAAAAGGAUACGUCUCUGCAUGUAACAUAAACUGUAGAACUCCUUGCUGCUAGGUGUUGUUAAUGCUAAAAGUUUAUGUGGAUCCAAAGGAACAGUGGACAGCUUAACAGAAAAGCUGACAUGAAUUCCAUUCCUAAUAGCAACUAUGAAAAGGGGGUUUGGAAUUUCCCUUUUUGUAAUAAGCUGUCUUUGAUUAGAAAUUUAAUUUCAAAACAGUGAGUUAAAGUGGUGGGAAAGUAAGUCCUUAUGAAAAGGGUGCUGCUUCUGUUUAUGACAAAACUGUAUAGAUAAUAAAAGCAGACAAACAGUCUCAAAAGUCUUUCAGUUCAGUACAUAUUAUUUCCCCAGUGCAUUUGCACAGCUUAUUUGCCCUGCCUGCCCUGCCUGCAGGGCAUAGUUUCUUGAAAACCUUUAGGCAAAGGGAAAAAAAAAAAAAAAAAAAAAAAAAAAAGAUAUUGGAGUCUCUUUCUUUGGCAAGAUGCAAGCAGCAACUUGGUUGCUGCUAUCUGCCAUCGUAUCACAAAAAUCAUAGAAUCCUGUAGGUAGGAAGGGACUUCUGGAGGUUCCUAGUCCAACUUGCUGCUCAAAGCAGGUCCCAUGAAAGCAGAUUGCUCAGGACCAUGUCCAGUCGAGUUAUGAAUAUCUCUAAGGAUGGAGAUCCCAUAGCCUCCCUGGGCAAGCUGUUUCAGGAUUUGACCACCUUCUUUGUCAAAAAUUCUCAUACCAAUUUGGAAUUUCCCAUGUUCCAACUUGUGCUCGUAGCCUCCUGUUUUGCCACUGUGCACAUCUGAGAAGAAUCUGGCUCCAUUUCCUCUACACCCUCCCAUUAGGUAUUUGUAGACAGCAGUAAGAUCUCCCCUAACCCUUUCUUCUUUACAGCUGAGCAAACCCACCUCUCUCAGCCUCUCCUUGUAUGUCAUGUGCUGCAGCCCUCUGACCAGCUUGGUGGCCUCCACUAGACUCACUCCAGCAUGUUAACGUCUUUUUGGUACUGGGAAGCCCAAAACUCACAAGUCUUACAAGUUCCAAACAUGGGAAGAAUCACUUCCCUCUAACCUGGCUGGCUACUGCUUGCUAAUGCAGCCAGCAUGCAGCUGGCCACAUUUACAGCAAGGGUACGCUGCUGACUCCUGCUCAACUUGUUCAUCACAAGCCCCAGGUCCUCUUCUACAAAAGUGCUCUCUAGCCAGUCAGUCCCCAGCCUGUCCUGCUGCAUGGCGUUAUUCCAUCCCAGAUGCAGGGCUUUGCACUUGCCUUCACUGAACUUAUUAAGGUUCUUGUCAGCCAAUUUUUCCAGUUUGACUAGGUCCCUCUGAGUAGCAGCCCUGCCCUCCAGUGUAUCAACCACUCCCCCCAAUUUGGUAUCACUUGCAAACUUGCUGAGAACUCACUCUAUCCCAUAAUGCUGGUCAUUAAGUCAGACAUUUCAAGAACUCAAUUUGAUAUAGCCUGUAUAAAAGAAAGAAAGUCAAACAUCUUUCCAGUGAUGUGCCAAGGAUUUCAAAUCUUGUUUAAUAAAAAUGGAAAAGUUGCA